AUUGAACGCUGGCGGCAGGCCUAACACAUGCAAGUCGAGCGAGUGGCGGACGGGUGAGUAAUGUCUGGGGAUCUGCCUGAUGGAGGGGGAUAACUACUGGAAACGGUAGCUAAUACCGCAUACCAUCGGAUGUGCCCAGAUGGGAUUAGCUAGUAGGUGGGGUAAAGGCUCACCAAGGCGACGAUCCCUAGCUGGUCUGAGAGGAUGACCAGCCACAAUGGAACUGAGAAACGGGCCAGACUCCUACGGGAGGCAGCAGGGGGGAAGAUUGGACAAUGGGCGAAAGCCUGAGGCAGCCAUGCCGCGGGUGUGAAGAAGGGCUUAGGGUUGGAAAGCAAUUUUAGCGAGGAGGCGUUACCCGCAGAAGAAGCACCGGCUAACUCCGUGCCAGCAGCCGCGGUAAUAC
rnacentral:rRNA from 1 species